rnacentral:rRNA from 3 species
GAUUCAUGACUGGGGUGAAGUCGUAACAAGGUAACCCUAGGGGAACCUGGGGUUGGAUCACCUCCUUA